rnacentral:sRNA from 1 species
AUUCUGCCCAUGCGGGGAAGGACGAGAAGCUUCGACCAAGGUUCGACUCGAGCGUCAGCGAGAGAGCGUCAGCGAGAGAGCGUCAGCGAGAGAGCGUCAGCGAGAGAGCGUCAGCGAGAGAGCGUUGCCGCAGGCAACGACCCGAAGGGCGAAGCGCGCAGCGCUGAGUAAUCCUUCCCCCACCACCA